GACCCGAUGUGUUUAGAAUGAUUGGUUUGCUCCUUUCUAUGCAAGUGAUGGCAUCCGCAUAUGCUGUUGAACCUCUCAGAACCCGUUUGAGUGGUGGAAGUGGAUCCUUUGAAGGGAGAGUUGAGGUUUACUACCAAGGUGCAUGGGGUACAGUUUGU